CUAGCCAUCUCAUCCUGUACAUGUUAGGGUUCAAAUGUGGAUCUGUCUGCCUCCAAGAGAAGGCUUGUGGGCUCUCCUGGCAGUGGACCUCUUGCCGCAGUGAACUCGGCCACUGAGACCCCGCAGCAGUGGACCUUGCUCACCCUCCAUUUGCCAUCUUACCCCUGACGCCUGCCUCACCUGCUCCACAUGCUGGGUGUGGAGGCCAGCUGCCUGCCUGCAUCGCUCCCUGCAAGUGCCCUUUCAGAGGCCAGCCUGCUGCCCCCUCCUGCAAGCCCCUCUGCCCUUCUGGAGCAUUCCUCUGUCUGGCUGUCUCUGUCCCACUGGCCGACUGGUCCCCUCCCAGCAUCUUCAGUCCUGCCUUCCUCUCCAAUGGAGCUCUGUCCUCUCACCAUCUGCCAGGCCCCUCAGGGGACAAAGGCCCACCCACGUUUGUCCUCUGCCCCCUUCUUCCCUACCCAGACCUGCCCUGUCUUGUCCUUCCAGCUCCCUCCUGUGUCCUGGGAGGCCCCAGAGUCUAGUUCUCACUUGUUUCUCUGCCCGCCAGUCAGAACUUACCACCACGUGGUCUGUCUUCACUGCCCUGAAACUGACCUGGGUUUAGAGAGCUUCUCUCCUCCGCGCUCAGCCAGCCUUUCCCCAGGGCAAUUGCUGUCUUGGAAUAUAGGCUGCUCGGAUGAGCACACCGAAAUGACAGGAAAACAGACUCCUGCACUCACUUCAGGAACAACGGCUAAUAUUCGUGGAGUUCUGGGCACUCUCCAGGCUGUGUGUGUUUCCAGGGCUUGGCUUGUAUUCCCUGACUUCAUUUCCAUGGUGUCCUGUUGGGGUAGUGUUUUAAUGAGGCCUUUCUGCAGACCGGGAAGCUGGGCCUCAGAACUGUUAAAUAUCGUAACCAUGAGGUUAGGCAAUAGACCACGUCCAUGACUCUACUCAGGACGUUUGUCAAUUGACCUCAGAGAAUUGUGGGACUCAAGAGGAGAUGACCUUCAAGAGUGUAAACUGUCAGCUACCCAGAUGUUGAUGAGUCCUUUUCAGCUUCAACAGCACAGACAGAGGAGCCAUUUGUGCUGAGUUUUGAGAUGGGCAAUUUUAUAUGUUGGGAAGUGGAUAUUAUCAUUCUUAUUGGAGGGAGUGGGGACACAGAAAGGGAAAAUGCUUUACCUGAGA
rnacentral:lncRNA from 1 species